rnacentral:lncRNA from 1 species
UUUUCCUCCAUUUUAGUUACUUUUGAGAAUAUUGAUAACCGAUGUUUUAGGAAUCUUAGAUAUCGUUGUUGGGUCUUCUUUGUUGAGGCCUCAGGGGCAUGGUUUUCUGGGUUUCAAAUGGUUCAAUGAGGUAAACAUUUUAUAUUGUUUCUAUUUCUUGGUUGGUAAGAGUUUUUAUUUUUGAUUCUGUUAUUGUAACGUGUUUUGUUUGGAAAAUGUUGAGAUGCUAAAAGAUUGAAUUUUUAUUUACAGGGUCAUUGAAUUUUGGAAUUAAUUCCGAGUGAUUUGGAUUUUUGGGUAGGAGGCUGGUUUUAUUGCAGUUUCAGAAUUUUUUUGGGGGUGUUUGUGAUGUAAAGAGCUGGUUCUUUUGUUGUGGUAUAAGUUUCAAACAGUGAAUGUUGAGAUGCUAAAAGAUUGGAUUUUUAUUUCUUAUUUUAUAGGGUUAUUGAAUUUUGGAAUUUACUUUGAGUGAUUUGUUCAAUAAUUGAUUUUGUUGGAG